ensembl:snoRNA U3 Small nucleolar RNA U3
AAGACUAUACUUUCAGGGAUCAUUUCUAUAGUUUGUUACUACUUACUGCAGGAAAGCCUGUCAAUUUAGAAUGCUUUAAAGAAUAUAUUUAGAUUGUAUAAAGGU